rnacentral:rRNA from 1 species
ACGAACGCUGGCGGCAUGCCUAACACAUGCAAGUCGAACGGGAUCCUGGCUUCGGUCAGGUGAGAGUGGCGGACGGGUGAGUAACGCGUGGGAACCUGCCCAGUGGUGGGGGAUAACUGCGGGAAACUGCAGCUAAUACCGCAUGAGCCCGAGAGGGGAAAGAUUUAUCGCCAUUGGAGGGGCCCGCGUUCGAUUAGGUAGUUGGUGAUGUAAUGGCUCACCAAGCCGACGAUCGAUAGCUGGUCUGAGAGGAUGAUCAGCCACACUGGGACUGAGAUACGGCCCAGACUCCUACGGGAGGCAGCAGUGGGGAAUAUUGGACAAUGGGGGCAACCCUGAUCCAGCAAUGCCGCGUGAGUGAUGAAGGCCUUAGGGUUGUAAAGCUCUUUUGGCGGGGACGAUGAUGACGGUACCCGCAGAAUAAGCCCCGGCUAACUUCGU